UACGAAGGGGGCUAGCGUUGUUCGGAAUUACUGGGCGUAAAGCGCGCGCAGGCGGCUAUCCAAGUCAGUGGUGAAAGCCCGGAGCUCAACUCCGGAACUGCCAUUGAAACUGUUUAGCUUGAGGAUGAGCGAGGUGAGUGGAAUUCCCAGUGUAGAGGUGAAAUUCGUAGAUAUUGGGAAGAACACCGGUGGCGAAGGCGGCUCACUGGCUCAUUACUGACGCUCAGGCGCGAUAGCGUGGGGAUCAAACAGG
rnacentral:rRNA from 1 species